CAGCAGUGGGGAAUAUUGGGCAAUGGGCGGAAGCCUGACCCAGCAACGCCGCGUGAAGGAAGAAGGCUUUCGGGUUGUAAACUUCUUUUCUCAGGGACGAAUAGAUGACGGUACCUGAGGAAUAAGCCACGGCUAACUACGUGCCAGCAGCCGCGGUAAUACGUAGGUGGCAAGCGUUAUCCGGAUUUACUGGGUGUAAAGGGCGUGUAGGCGGGGACGCAAGUCAGAUGUGAAAACCACGGGCUCAACCUGUGGCCUGCAUUUGAAACUGUGUUUCUUGAGUACUGGAGAGGCAGACGGAAUUCCUAGUGUAGCGGUGAAAUGCGUAGAUAUUAGGAGGAACACCAGUGGCGAAGGCGGUCUGCUGGACAGCAACUGACGCUGAGGCGCGAAAGCGUGGGGAGCAAACAGGAUUAGA
rnacentral:rRNA from 1 species